GACGUAGGUGGCGAACGUUAUCCGGAAUUAUUGGGCGUAAAGGGUGCGUAGGCGGCAUGAUAAGUUAUUGGCGGCAAAUCGAGGCUCAACCUCGUGGAAACUGAUAAUACUGUCUUGCUUGAGUGCAGAAGAGGUUAACGGAACUCCAUGUGGAGCGGUAAAAUGUGUAGAUAUAUGGAAGAACAUCAAUAACGGCGAAGGCAGUUAACUAGUCUGUUACUGACGUUGAGGCACGAAAGCGUGGGGAGCAAAAAGG
rnacentral:rRNA from 1 species